ensembl:lncRNA
AAAAAGAGUCACUUCCUCUGUUUUCCGCUGCAUACAACUGGAGUCUGUGUCAGUAAAAUGUUAAAUAACUGUAUAAUUACAGAAAACUUUACCAUAUCGACGGUUACCUUUAAUCAGUCUUAGGUUUUGUUCAGAUCUUCCUCCAUACAAGUCCCUGUGAAAUGAGCUGUUACUAUGGAAAUGAUAACGGUUAACAUAAACCCGCACUCUUAUUUAGAGAGCAUUCUGACCAAUCAGAAUCGAGAAUUCACCACUGCUGCGGUAUAAAACACGAUGUCGUCUCGUCUCGUUCACAUCUUUCAACAUGUAUUCUAUUUGUUUUCGUUUCUUAUAUUCCUUUAUUCCAAGUCACGCUGUGGUUCCUCUGGACGUCUCGCUGGGACGGUCAGUGUGUUAAAACAAGCAAGGGCUGUUACUGCAUCGUGCCAUCUGUCAACUUGAGCACGUUUAACGAGGCAGAAAUGGUGCGAGGCAGUUGCUUCAUUUUGCAAAUUCACACUCGAUCCAUUCCAUGUAUUUUUAAAAAAAAAUUUUAUUAUUAUUAUUUUUUUAAACACUCAAGGGCCAAACAUUUUUAUUUCUAUUUUUCAUGUAAAUAGUGUUAAGUGUUGGGGUUUUUUUUGUUUUGUUGGGGUUUUUUUCCCCCUGUUGUGGUGUGUUCAGUGGAGGCAGGCACCUCACGGGUUCUGCCAUUAGAGUCUUAUAUGAAAGUACUGCACAGUUUUUGUUUUUUUUUUUCCUUUCCUAAAGGACACUACGCCUGUUUGUGAACGCACUUUGUUCCUCGUUCGUUUGCCCUGAACGGAUGAUGCCUUUCGCUACCGCAGUGUAAACAUUCGCUACGACGAUAAUCUCUACGGCCUAAUUAUAAAAGGUGGCUUCUUUUGUGCUAAUGCUUUGGGGAGCCUUUACAGUUUCUUUGUAUUCGUGGCUUUGUUCCCACAUCAGCAAUAACCGCUUCCCAGUAUAGCGUCUCACGAGGUAACCGGAAAAACAUGCACUGGACCAAAAAAAAAAAAAGGUUGAUCAUGUGACUUUGAGAGUAGAUAUAAAUAUUAGCUUCUUGGACACAAAAUAAGUCUCUUGUGCGAGAUCUAAUACUUGAUUUAAGCCCAUCCAAUGGCUUAAAGGGGUGCCAACAUUUAUGAUUUAUGCUAUAGUGUUAUUGGAACGACUUGAGAAUUACUUUCCCGUUUUAUUCGCCUGCCACAAAAGCUGAUUCACUGAAAGGGAAACGACAAGUUUCGCUUCUAGCAGCAGUUAUGUUCCCUUUUAUUUUGGCGACCUUUGACCUGUGAAUACAUGCGUCUCUAUCUUGUAAACCAAAGGAAAGCGAGAAGGCAGGGAUUACGGUCUCUUUGGUUGGAUAAAGAAGCAGUUGCUCUGAGAAAGUAAACCGCUGACAAGUUCUGUUUCUUUAGGGUUUUCUUGUUAGCAAUGUUGGCACCGCUGCUUCAACCUUAAAGUAAAUAUCUCAAGUAACUGAGAUAGGUAAAGUACAAAACUCAAACGGGCAUAAAUAUUAGCUCCCUAGAAAGAAAACAUAACCCACCUGUCCUGUCAGGUGAGGAUGCCUCUUAUCAAAUUGUAGUCUGUGGAUUGCUAAUUGUAGUCUGUGGAUCGGUGUUUUACUCUGCUAUCGUAAAGGAGUCAGUUUUAUAAGCACUUGAGGGUCGGUGAGGCUUGUCGAACAACUCCCAGACAGAUCUAAACGGCAGUCGUUAUAUUUGUCCUGAUGCACAAGCUAUAGACAUAAAGCAGCGAUGUUAAUGAACAGGAAAUUCAGGUUCAGUUUUUCUGAGUUUGUUUCACUUUUCCAGUUUCCAGGUUAUUCCAGGUCAGAAGUUCACAUGGUUCUUACAGACACAGUGCCUUAGAAGGCUGAGUUAUUUACAAGUGUGACGCCACAAACUCGUCUGAUCAUUACUUCACUGCUUGUUUUUUUUCCCAGAUGUAGAAUUUUCUAGAACUGAAUUUCUCUACGCUUUAAAGACAACAUGAAAUACAUAAUUCACGGAUGCAUUAAAAAAAAAAAAAUUCCCCACAAUGUGACACAUUUUCGAUCAAUUUGAAGGGGUGGGACUUGUUUUAUGGGAUCUGAUUGGCUUGGUAAAAGUGAGCGUUCCAAAGCAAGAACACUAGCAUGCAGUUGAUCGUAGAGGAAAGCUUGCUUCCCAGCACGUAAGGAUACGAGAGAGAGGAAAUCCCGCUAGCGCUGAAGAAGAACAAGAGGUGAUUUCGCUCCAGGAGCGCGGCCAUGUUUGUUAGAAUUGGACGAUCAACCAGCCAGUGUGGAACUCAUGGAGUAUCAUGGCAAACUAAUGAUCACUAUUUAUUGGCACUGUUUGUGCUAAUGUAGACCAGAUGUAAUUGUUUUUGCCCCCACUCUUCUGUUCCUUAUUCAUUCCAGAUAUUAAUCUUGUACCUCUGCACUCUUGGGUUAUUUAUAUUUGUGUGUGUGUGUGUGUAAUGUUUGCUCUGUUUGUGUAUAAAGGGUUCGGGCAGCGCCCAUCAUUAUGCGAUGUGUAAAGCGGCACAUCUGGAGCAGGGAUCUGUACAGUCGUGUAGGGCUGCACGGGUUUCUCCGUGGCAAUCAGCCUUUGUUAUUGAAUGGUUUUUGGGGAAACACAUGAGAUACAUUAUUCAUUUUACAGUGUUGACUAAAAUGAUUAUAACAGUGAUGAAUCUGAUGAUUGUGUGUCUGGAUGACUGAUGCUUUGCACCCAUCUUUGUGUAAACGCACUGUGGUGUGCUCUCACUGCUGGACCUUCAUGAAAGAAAUGUUUUACUGUGCGAAUAAAGAAUGGUGAAACCAACGACAUGGCGUGUCAUUUCUAUUUCAUGGAUUUAUGAACCCC